rnacentral:rRNA from 1 species
CAGGGGGAGUACUCCUUCUAAGCUAAUAUCACCACGAGACCGAUAGCGAACAAGUACCGUGAGGGAAAGUUGAAAAGCACUCUGAAUAGAGAGUCAAAAAGUACGUGAAACUGCCUAGGGCUCAAGCCCGUUGAACUCGAUUAUCCGAGCGGAGACAUUCACCUGCGGGGCUGGCCUUCCCAGGGCCGGCGCCGCAGGGCACUUGUCUCUCCCGCGCACGAGGACACUGCGAUCCAUUACGAAACAGCUUUCGCGUUCCACUGGGACGCCCAAGGUCCCCGACAGUUGCCCCCCGGUUGUUCCCCCGGGUGGUUGCCCCACAGUAACGACGCCUAAUUCCCAAAGGCUGUGCCGCGAGGGGGGGCCUACCGGACGUGGUGGUGAGUCCGGGGCGUGAUGGAAUCCCACGAAUACGACGCCGUGCCUUUACACCGGGGCCACGGGGAACCGAUAAGCGGAGUGGGAGAACAGGUGUCCCCCCGGGGACGCCUUUUGACCCGGGGCACCAAAUUG